CAUCUUGCUCAGCUGCCCACCACCACACACACACACUUAGUGCCCAUCAACCAGGCUGUACAGGGAGGGGUAUCAGAUGGAGGUGGAGGGAUGAGACAGGGAGCCUGGCGAUCGAAGCACAAAGCAGAGGGAGACGAGGCCCUUGGGUGGCACUGCUGAGGCUUUUCAGUCACUUCAGGUAGCCAAAGGUCCAGGAAGGGCUCAGGCCUCUGCCAUUCUUUGGGAGGUGGCUCACUCCACACACAGAUCGGUCAUCUCCUCUCACUUCUCUGGUCUCUCCCACCCAGAUGCACCUACAGAAUAAAACUAGGAACAAACACCAUUGGGGCACCUGAAACAGGGUGGACUGCAAUGGUUGGCAAGCAAUACUGUAUCUGAAGUCAGGGAGCUUUCCUUCAGUUUUGCCCAGUCUGAAAUCGCCUUCGUCAGUCACCCACUCCUCCAAACUUUGCCAUAGAAAACGUUACCUUUGUUUUGUGCUGCCUUAGUCUCAGGGUAGCAAUUGAACCAUCUCCUCCAUUCUUCAGCUUCACAAACAGAAAUGUGGAAGAAAAGGCUGCUGACACCGAGAAGAUAAAAUGGCACCCAAAAAAGCCCCAGCAGAAAAAACACUGUUUCAAAAAAUAAAGGAUUUUUGGGCAAGUCCAAUGGGUAUAUAUGUGGCUAUAGUAUUCACCAUCAUCCUUGUUGUCAUGGCAAUAGGAAGUGCCCUUGUGUGUCUGAAUGAGGCGAGCAGAACAGCUGACCUACGAUAUGCAAUGGAGCUUGUUAAGAAAUUUAUGAUGACAAAAGAUCCAAGCUAUGAAACUAGGGAUGGUAAGUACGGUAAUGAAUUCAAGUAUUUCCGAUUCUUUCCACCAGGUACUCUACCUAGAAUACAUCCACCGAGCAGAUAUCCAUGUGCAAUCUCUGACGUCAGUUUAGAGAAAGGUCAAGUUAAUAACUGGGUUAGAUGGGAACAAUGGUGAUUGGAAGAAGAAC
rnacentral:lncRNA from 1 species